UACAGAGGUCCCAAGCGUUGUUCGGAUUCAUUGGGCGUAAAGGGUGCGUAGGCGGCGCGGUAAGUCGGGUGUGAAAUCUCGGAGCUUAACUCCGAAACUGCAUUCGAUACUGCCGUGCUUGAGGACUGGAGAGGAGACUGGAAUUUACGGUGUAGCGGUGAAAUGCGUAGAUAUCGUAAGGAAGACCAGUGGCGAAGGCGAGUCUCUGGACAGUUACUGACGCUGAGGCACGAAGGCCAGGGGAGCAAACGGG
rnacentral:rRNA from 1 species